rnacentral:tRNA from 1 species
GCCCCAGUCGCCUAAUUGGAUAGGGCACAGACUUGGUGUUGGCCUUCGGUGCAAGCCUUCUAUGAAGGGUGUUUGCCUCCUAUGUGCAAGCCUACGGUGAUUGGAGAAAGCCUGAGGUUACGGGUUCAAAUCCCGUCUGGGGCA